UACGUAGGGUGCAAGCGUUGUCCGGAAUUAUUGGGCGUAAAGAGCUCGUAGGCGGUCUGUCGCGUCGGCUGUGAAAACCCGGGGCUCAACCCCGGGCCUGCAGUCGAUACGGGCAGACUAGAGUGCGGUAGGGGAGACUGGAAUUCCUGGUGUAGCGGUGAAAUGCGUAGAUAUCAAGAGGAACACCUGAGGUGAAGACGGGUUGCUGGGCUGACACUGACGCUGAGGCGCGAAAGCCAGGGGAGCAAACGGG
rnacentral:rRNA from 1 species